GCGAAAACAAACGCGGGCCAGGGCCUGGCAAGGGCUGCACAACAGAACCACGAGGCCGAGACGCUGGAAAAAGCCUGUAUAUAUACUACAGAUGAAGAACGGCAAAGGGAUAUAUGUGUAAGGGUUUCACUAAGUUGCCCAGGCUGGGCUCAAACUCAUGAUCCUCCCGCCUCAGCUUCGCAGCCUUCCCUCCUCUUUAAGAAUUCAUCUCUGCCACCCUCAAAACAGAGCUCUUCCCUGACCUCGCCUGGACCCUACCAGCUUGUGCACUUCCUGCUGGUUGACAACAAAGAGCCGCUCGUUGAGACCCAGGGAAGUGGCCACACCACGGGCAUCUGGCUGCAGGCCAAUGGCAUCUGCAAGGAGAGUGGAGGCUGCUGAGUGGGGCUGGGGAGGAAGCCAGGGUCUAGGUGGGGGCCCUGAUUGGGAGAUUCCUUUUCCAGCAGUGGCCAGAGCUGUGGGCGGGUGCUGUAGGAAAGUGGGGGUGCAUGCCCUGUGCCCUAAUUCCUCUCCUUGGACAGCACAGAGAGGAGUAUGAAAAGGGGAUCCAGGGUGAAGUUCAGCUUCCCUGAUCCUCAGCUUCCUCCUCUGGAAAAUGGAGACUGUAUGACUUGUCAGUGGUCUGACCAUCAGCGGUCGGUCGAAAAGACAACCAGCACAGAGCAGGUCUUACUUAAUAAACAUGAGGAGAACUGCAACUCAUCAGAUGGUCACCAGAGGGCAGUGCUUCCCAGAGCAGAGCACCCAGGUGACCUCGUGGGGCUUUGCUCCCUUCCUGAAGGGAGAAGGCUUUUCUCACCUACCCUCUUUGCCAUUAUUCUCCGACUGUUCCCUAUUCUGUUCCACCCUGGGCUUCAGCUGUCAGGCCAGGGGUGUGUCUUUCACAGGGAACAGUGGCUUUUAGUGCCCCAGGUUCUCCGAAAGCAGAUCUUGAUAAUCCUUAUGCAAUCACAUUCCAGGCCUUUGUGCCAGGCCCCAGCUGCAUGAGCUACACUCCUAUCUCUUGCCUAGCAACCGCCACAGCUCUGUACAGAUGGCUACAGUGACAAUGCUCACUUUCCAGCAGGGAAGGGAGGCUCAGAGAGGCCAUACAACUUGCUCAGGGUCCCACAGCUAGUUAGCAGGUGAUCUGGGAUUCCAGUGCAGGUCUGGGAAUCCAUCUGGCUAAUCUACUUUAUUUACCAUGGUACCUCUGGCUCCUAACUCACUUCUGAUCCAUGGCUGACCCUCAACAAUGUUUGCUAAAUGACUAAAUGAUGAGGAUUGUCUAAGUACAAAGGCCAGCUACAUUCCCAUUUCCUGUUUGAGCUGGGGGAAGCCACUCAAUCCCCAAGCUUCAGUUUCCCUGUCUGAAAAUAGGGCACAAUUACCAAUUGUAGGAUUGUUAUUAGGAUUAAAGGUAUAUUUAAGAAUGAUAAUGGCAGCAGCUAAAACUUACAUAGUCCUGAGCAUGUGCUAGGCACCUUCCUAAUCCCCUCUGCGGAUUACCUCACUUCUUCUAGGAGGCAAAGACUCUUAUUCUCCCCACUUUGCAGACGAUGAAAUCCAGCACAGAGAGGUUAAACGCCCAGCCCAGGACACACAGCUAAUGAGCUCACAGCUGGUGUCAAAUGCAGGCAGCAGGCUCCAGAGUUUAUGCUCACAAUUCCUACACGUAAAGCAGUGUGAACAGAGGCAGUGCACCUCCCAGACGUGCCACCCGUCAUCAGCACUGGUGACAAUGAUGCAUAGGAUGAUCUUAACCCGGGGGUCUGAGCAUGGAUUUGAGGGGCCCCUGCCUUGGGGUCUAUUGGGACACAACUCACCGCCUGCAGAAUUGACCUUCACCAGCACCUGCCCCUUCGUCCAGCCAUCCUCCUGGGCCAGCGCCACCAUCACCUCUCUCACUGAGGCCGUCACAGGCAGCUGCAGGGUCAGCACUGAGUGGUCCGGCCGGCAGAUGUCAUAGGGCACUGGGGAGGAGGACUGGGCUGAACUGUGGGAGGAGCUGCCUGGUCUCCUCAGCUCAGGAGGGAGAGGGCAGCAACUGCACAGAGGGAGGGACCCCCCAGGAGUGGGGAAGAACAGGCACAAAAGGGAAGCCCAGUGGCGGGGCAGAGCCAGGUGUGUAUGUGUUGGGGGGUGGGGGUCUAAGCUAGCACAGGAGCACAGAAGGAUCUGCCUGGCAGCCUGGAACAGAGUCGCCAGGGACAGCAGCAGGCUGCCCUUGACUCAGGGAACCCCAGGUCGAGGUGACAAUAGCAGGACAAAGAGAGGUAGAGGCGGCCAAGUGCAGAAGCCAGGCUGUGCCCUUCUGGCUGGGACCACCCACCUUUGUCCCCAACUCUGAUGGCACAGUUGCUGCUUGGGAGAGGCUCAUCCUGGCUGGGGAGCCAGACAGGUAUGUUCCGGACCUGGGAGGAAGAGAAAGUAAGGUUGAAAGGACAUGGGACAGGAUGCCGGCAGGGACAGGGAGGGGUCUUUGUCACCAGGACCAGGAAGACGAAAGCACCACACUACCAGAAAGCUCUGCUUGCCACGUUAACCUGAGUCCAGGUGAGGCCCUGGGACCAAGGCUCCAGAGGAGACAGAACUGUGUAAGGUGGGUGAGACGGUACCCUCCACAGGUACAUCCUUCCUUCUGUGCCCAAAAGAUCCAGAGCCCUUCUCUUCCUUUCCCUCUUCAGUUACCAUCUGCUACAAGCCAGGCAUUGUUUUAAAUAAAUAAUCACAAUAGCCCUUUGAUAAAAAAUAUUAUUAUUUCCAUUUUAUGGAUGAGAUAAUGAGGCACAGACUGAUUAAAUGAACAUGCUCAGGGCCACACAGCUGCUGAAUGUCAAAGCUGAAAUCCUGCCCCUCCCUCCCUCCUUCCUUGUCCACCACCACCCUGUCAAGCCCAACAGCAGGCAGGCAGUGGGCUGCAGGCACUACAGAGCCUCCACUGACAGGGCUGCCCCACGUGGUCCUUCUCCCCCCACCCCCCUGCUUCUUCCAACCUGGGGCUGACUCCUCCCUGCCACCCUGCAUUCGGCAGAUUCCCCAGGUCCGGACCUCAGGCCUCUGGUCUCCCCUAGACUUCCUGGUCUUAGCCUUCCUCUGACUUCCUCACAACCUGGAUGCCACCUACUUAUGGAUAAGACUCAAAAUGCUGCCACCUGAGUCGCGCUUCUGCAGGCUCUGGUCCCAAACACCUUCUGGAUGCCUCCUCGUCCAUUAUCUGCCACCCUCACCUCCACACACCUGCAAGGUCCCCCUAUUCACUCCUCCCAGGGCCACUGUUCCGCUCCAGGCUCCUCCCCUCACUCCUGCCUGCUACAAUGGCCCAACUGUUCUCCUCCGCUGACCCUCAGGUGACUCCAGCCCCGCUCCUCCAAUUGGCCUGGGCAGAGCCCAUGGAAGUGCCCAGCUCAAGGCAAUCAUUGUCUGUGGAUGAGCCUGGUCUUCCGCUGACCUCUUCAAAUCCCCAAUCAGAUCCUGUCAGUCCCUGGCUCAAGCCUCUCAAGGUCUGCACUGAUCUCAAGACAAGACCUGCCUCAGGUUGGAAUAGCACUGGCCACCUAGACUCCUCUAGGGAGGGGUCUCAACUUCCCCUGGAUCCCCGCAGCACUGGCCACUAGGAGCCCUCGGGCCUUGGCAAAUCUAGUGACCAAGCCUCCGAUGCCAGCUCUGCCUGGGCAAGAACUGCUUCUUGGAAGAAUGAAGCGGGGUGGCGAGGAAGGUCCCGCUUGGACCUCAGCAUCCUCCCUCCACUCCCCACGGGACACACACGGUCAGAGAGUUUCUGUAAAGAGCCGAGAUUCCCUGAGAUUGGCUACUUGUAGCUGAGUCUCCGCCACAGCCCGGCCAGCCUUGCCUCACUCGGGUACCUGGAGGAAGCUGGUAGCCACGGGGUCCUUGUGGAGCAUGGGACCAUACAGGGCCACCCAAUGGCUGACCAGCCGCAGGAUCUGCUGCCUCCUGUUGCAGAUGUAGGUGCUGCACUCCUGCUCGCUGCCUCCUGCAGACUCCGCCGGCCCCGCGUGGAAGCUCCUUCUGAUGUUUUUCAAUGACAAAGGGGGCUUCGGUCAUCCUGGAUUCUCUGAACCUCUCAGAGCCUGCCCCUGAGUCCCCCAAAGCCAGAUGCCAAGCAGUGUCCACAAGAACCCCCACUCCAAGAGCAAAAAGCAGAAUUGGCCCAGUUCAGCCAUUCAAAAGGGAGCAAUUUGCCACGGUGACUUGUCAAGCACAGUAACCACUUGACUUGGCCCCCACAUCUUCUGUCCCCACCCAGAAAGAGCACACAAGCUCCUAACUCUGAGGGCUGAGACCGAGAACCCGGGACAGCGACUUCCGUGAAGCCCGGUAAUUGCUCAGGAGGAUAAUGAGGGUUUAGAAGGAGGCACAAGCCCUGCCCUCAACUUUCGAGGACCCUCUCCUUUUGCCUUUUCUUCAUUUCUAUUGCUGUUGAGCCUGCCAGACUGAGGAAGGAACAUUGCUAACCAGCAGAUGCCUCUAUCUCAUCCUGCACAGAAAAUUAUUUUCCUGACGGGGGAGGGGAAUUUUAAUUGUGGUUAAAAUCCCCAUCCCACCUCUUUUUUGAGACAAGGUCUCAUAUGUAGUUCACGCUGGUCCUGAACUUACAGUGUGCCCCAGGCUGACCUGGAACUCACCUCCCAAGUGCUGAGAUGGUAUAACACCAUACUUAGCUAAAAUCCUAAUUUUAAUGGGUAUGUGUAUACAUUUUCUUCAGGAGUUUAUUAAAGUCCAUGUUCUG